rnacentral:rRNA from 1 species
AUUGAACGCUGGCGGAAUGCUUUACACAUGCAAGUCGAACGAUGAACCUUAGCUUGCUAAGGGGAUUAGUGGCGAACGGGUGAGUAACAUAUCGGAACGUACCUUGUAAUGGGGGAUAACUAGUCGAAAGAUUAGCUAAUACCGCAUACGCCCUGAGGGGGAAAGUAGGGGAUCUUCGGACCUUACGUUAUAAGAGCGGCCGAUAUCUGAUUAGCUAGUUGGUGGGGUAAUGGCCUACCAAGGCGACGAUCAGUAGCUGGUCUGAGAGGACGACCAGCCACACUGGAACUGAGACACGGUCCAGACUCCUACGGGAGGCAGCAGUGGGGAAUUUUGGACAAUGGGCGCAAGUCUGAUCCAGCCAUUCCGCGUGAGUGAAGAAGGCCUUCGGGUUGUAAAGCUCUUUCGCAAGGGAAGAAAACUUACAUUCUAAUAAAGUGUGAGGCUGACGGUACCUUGAUAAGAAGCACCGGCUAACUACGUGCCAGCAGCCGCGGUAA